rnacentral:rRNA from 1 species
UACGAAGGGGGCUAGCGUUGCUCGGAAUCACUGGGCGUAAAGGGUGCGUAGGCGGGUCUUUAAGUCAGGGGUGAAAUCCUGGAGCUCAACUCCAGAACUGCCUUUGAUACUGGCGAGCUUGAGUUCGGGAGAGGUGAGUGGAACUGCGAGUGUAGAGGUGAAAUUCGUAGAUAUUCGCAAGAACACCAGUGGCGAAGGCGGCUCACUGGCCCGAUACUGACGCUGAGGUGCGAAAGCGUGGGGAGCAAACAGGG